rnacentral:rRNA from 1 species
AUUCCAGCUGAUCCUGCUGGCGGGUACUGCUAUCGGAAUUCGACUUAACCAUGCAAGUCUUAGAGCUGCGGCUAUGAGCAGCUCUGGCAAACGGCUCAGUAACACGUAGUUAAUCUAACCUGAAGAGGUGCAAAACCCGGGAAACUGGGCAUAAUGCAUCUUAGGCGGGGGGUAUUGGAAAAUUCCCCUGUUCAAAGGAGCUGCAAUUCAUGCUUUUGCAGUUUGCUUCAGGAUGGGACUGCGUCGGAUUAGGUAGUUGGCGGGGUAAAUGCCCACCAAGCCUAAGAUCCGUACGGGCCUUGAAAGAGGGAGCCCGGAGAAGGGAACUGAGAUAAGGUCCCUAGCCCUACGGGGUGCAGCAGGUGCGAAAACUCUGCAAUGCACGCAAGUGCGACAGGGGGAUUCCGAGUGCUUGCUCUGCAAGCUUUUGCAAAGUCUAGAUAGCUUUGCGAAUAAGUGGGGGGUAAGACACGUGCCAGCCGCCGCGGUAAAACGUGCUCCACAAGUGGUACUCACUCAUAUUGGGCCUAAAGCGUUUGUAGCUGGCCUGAAAAGUCGUUGGUGAAAUCUGCCUGCUUAACAGUCAGAAUUGCCAAUGAUACUUUCAGGCUAGAGGCCGGAAGAGGCUGAGGGAAUUUCCGGGGUAGCGGUGAAAUGCUAUGAUCCUGGAAGGACCACCAGUAGCAAAGGCGCUCAGCCAGGACGGACCUGACAGUGAGAAACGAAAGCUGGGGGAGCGACCCGGAUUAGAUAUGGAGUUGAGAGAAAGAAAUUUACCGUGUUAAUUAAAAAUUGUCGCAGUUUAAAAAACUAAAAUUUUUAAUUAAUAUUUAACUCUCAUGCUCCACUAAUUACCCGGUUAGUCCCAGCCGUAAACGAUGCAGACUAGGUGUUCUAGCAUCUACGAGAUGCAGGAGUGCCGUAGCGAAGGCGUUAAGUCUGCCGCCUGGGAAGUACGCUCGCAAGAGUGAAACUUAAUGGAAUUGGCGGGGGCGCACCACAAGGGGUGGAGGCUGCGGUUCAAUUGAAUAAAACGCCAGAAACCUCACCAAGGGCGACAGCAGAAUGAUGGUCAUCCUAAAGGGCUUACCUGACACGCUGAGAGGUGUUGUAUGGUCAUCGUCAGCUCGUACUAUGAAGUGUCCUGUUAACUCAGGUAACGGGCGAGACCCACAUCAUUAGUUGCAAUCUUGUCCGCAAGGGCAGGAGCACUCUAAUGGGACUGCAGUAGUAAUACUGAGGAAGGAGUGGUCAACGGUAGAUCUGUAUGGCCCGAAUCUCUUGGGCUACACGCGGCCUACAAUGGUUAGGACAAUGAGUUCCGACUCCGAAAGGAGAAGGUAAUCCCCUAAACCUAACCCCAGUUCAGAUCGGGGCUUGAAACUCAGCCUCGUGAACGCUUGGAAUCCCUAGUAAUCGCGCGUCACUAUCGCGCGGUGAAUAAGUCCCUGCGCCUUGCACACACCGCCCAUCAAGCCAGCCGAGUAGAGUUCUGAUGAGCUGCUCUCUUCGGAGAGCAACGAUUCUGGAUUUUGCAAGGGGGGCUAAGUUGUAACAAGGUGUCCGUAGGGGAACCUGCGGACGGAUCACCUCCU